rnacentral:lncRNA from 1 species
AAUAAAAAAGAAAAAAAUAAAAAUAAAAUUCAAACGAAAGCCAACCACGAAAAACAGAACGCCAUAACCGCCGACGCCACCAAUCUUCCACCGCCACUUGCCGUUUGAUCCGCCGCAUCAUCAUCGCUGUAAUCAUCAGAAGAAUCCGGUCCCGGCGCAUCUGCUUCCUCCUCGGUGUCACCCUUCUUCGCCGGCUUCUUUUUCUUUUUCGCCGCCUUUGGCGCAGGCGCCGGCUCCUCCGCCUCCUCCACCGUACCCUUAAACAACUCUCUCGGCAAUAAAACCUUAUCGAUGGUGUAAAUGGCAAUCGGCUCUUCGUCGACCACCGUUCCGCUUAUUGUCGCCUUCACCACUUUCGUCUUCAAUGUCACAUCG